GGUGCUGAAGAAUGUAUAGAUCUGUGACUGACAAUGAGAACAAGAAAUGCCUACCAUAGCUGCUGCCUUCUGCGUCAAAUGUGACCUUCAAUUUGGGUGGAAAGAGGUGAUAUGAACCAAGAAAUCUCAUUCCAUGACAUCCACUGCCUUCUCCUGACCCCCUGGACAUGCUGGUGAAAUACCAGUGCUCCUUUAAUGAAGACAUUAACAGAAGUUAAAUUUUCACCUGGACUCUGCAGUGUAUUAACCAUCCACUGUGUGGAUACCCAGCAUGCAUAUUCAAACAAAAGAAAGUCCACCAAUAAUAGCUCCAAACCCAUCUUUCCUCUUCACAUUCCCUUUGUCAAGCUUAAAUCUAAAACAGUGGGGUGGUAAAUUCUACAUCCGUCUCCCCAUUUUUCGGAACUCUGGCAUUAUUUUCUGAAUCUUGAAAAGUCUAGACUAUUCACCCUGCCCCUUAGUUCUGAAGACUAUACUCCAAUGGCUCUCAACCUCUAAUGUUGUAACCCCUUAAUACGGUUCCCCAUGUGUGGUGACCCCCAACUGUAAAGCAAUAAAAUUAUUUUUGCUGCUA